UUUAAAGUUAUUUUCUAAAAACCACCAGAAAGUACUCGAGUGAUUUUACCCUCGUCUGCACUGGCGUGAAUGUGUUUCCACAGUGUAUGACUUCAUAUGGUUAUUUUACCUACUCUGCGCUGAUGUGAAUGUCUUUCCACAGUGUAUGAUUAGUAUAGUGAUUUUACCUGCUUUGCACUAUUGUGAAUGUGUUUCCAUAGUGUAUGACCAUUUUAUAACUCUGCGCACGUACGAUCAGAAUUACAGAAUUUCAGAAUUACAGGAUUAUAGAAUUACAGAAUUUCAGAAUUGAAUAACCUUGCUAUGUACAUCGAGAUUAAUCGAUACACGAGUAUAGUUAUUCUGGGUACAUUUUUGGUGUGAUGUUUUAAUAUUACAUAGCUUAUCAAAUUUUAGAAAUGUGGUAUACAGAAUAAAGAUGUUUAUGAUUAUAGUAUAUUUUGGUUUUGAAAGUAUUAUCAGAUUUUAAGAUAUAGAAUUUAGCUUAUUCAGUUUAAAGAAUAAAUAUUUUAGUUUACAUGUCUGUAGAAAGAAAUUUUAUGCUAUAUGUUGGUUUUUAGAAAGAUUUUAUGAAUGGAAAAGUAUACUUUUAUAAAUAUCCACUCAUUGAGUCGCAAGCUCAUAUUUUUGCC
rnacentral:lncRNA from 1 species